rnacentral:rRNA from 1 species
UUCAAAGAGUGCGUAAUAGCUCACUAGUCGAGUGACCCUGCGCCGAAAAUGUACCGGGGCUAAAACAAUUUACCGAAGCUGUGGAUACCUUUAUAGGUAUGGUAGGAGAGCGUUCUAUGUGUGAAGAAGGUAUACCGUGAGGAGUGCUGGAACGCAUAGAAGUGAGAAUGCCGGUAUGAGUAGCGAAAGACAGGUGAGAAUCCUGUCCACCGUAAGACUAAGGUUUCCAGGGGAAGGCUCGUCCGCCCUGGGUUAGUCGGGACCUAAGGAGAGACCGAAAGGUGUAUCCGAUGGACAACAGGUUGAUAUUCCUGUACUAGAGUAUGUAGUGAAGGAGGGACGCAGUAGGCUAACUAAAGCGUGCGACUGGAAGAGCACGUCUAAGCAGUGAGGUGUGAAUUGAGUCAAAUGCUUAAUUCUGUAACAUUGAGCUGUGAUGGGGAGCGAAGUUUAGUAGCGAAGUUAGUGACGUCACACUGCCAAGAAAAGCUUCUAGCGUUUAAACAUACUCUACCCGUACCGCAAACCGACACAGGUAGUCGAGGCGAGUAGCCUCAGGUGAGCGAGAGAACUCUCGUUAAGGAACUCGGCAAAAUGACCCCGUAACUUCGGGAGAAGGGGUGCUGACUUUUGUCAGCCGCAGUGAAUAGGCCCAAGC